rnacentral:rRNA from 1 species
AAUCAACGCUGGCGGCGUGCCUAACACAUGCAAGUCGAGCGCGAAAGGGAGUAAUCCCCAAGUAGAGCGGCGAACGGGUGAGUAACGCGUGGGUGAUCUACCUCCGAGUGGGGAAUAACCCGGGAACUGGGGCUAAUACCGCAUGACAUCCCUGAGUCACAUCGGGGAUCAAAGCCGGGGACCGCAAGGCCUGGCGUUUGGAGGAUGAGCCCGCGUCCGAUUAGCUAGUUGGCGGGGAACG